rnacentral:rRNA from 1 species
AUUGAACGCUGGCGGCAGGCCUAACACAUGCAAGUCGAACGGUAGCACAGAGGAGCUUGCUCCUUGGGUGACGAGUGGCGGACGGGUGAGUAAUGUCUGGGAAACUGCCUGAUGGAGGGGGAUAACUACUGGAAACGGUAGCUAAUACCGCAUAACGUCGCAAGACCAAAGAGGGGGACCUUCGGGCCUCUUGCCAUCAGAUGUGCCCAGAUGGGAUUAGCUAGUAGGUGGGGUAAYGGCUCACCUAGGCGACGAUCCCUAGCUGGUCUGAGAGGAUGACCAGCCACACUGGAACUGAGACACGGUCCAGACUCCUACGGGAGGCAGCAGUGGGGAAUAUUGCACAAUGGGCGCAAGCCUGAUGCAGCCAUGCCGCGUGUAUGAAGAAGGCCUUCGGGUUGUAAAGUACUUUCAGCGGGGAGGAAGGCGAUACGGUUAAUAACCGUGUCGAUUGACGUUACCCGCAGAAGAAGCACCGGCUAACUCC